GGCGAGCAUCCCUCGGUAUUUGAAAGCCGCCAUCCCAUCUCCAUGGCAACACAAGGACGGCCGGAAAAGACCCGGAUGCUGCCUGGUUGAGCGCUUCCGGCGCUGUGGGCUGGGGCCGGAAAUGAGAAUCUUUGAGUACACCUAAGUGGCCUUGGGCACUCUAAAGCCAGUGCAUCCUUUCUAGAAAGAGGUGGGAGAGAUGGCGAGACUCACACAGCCCCACUGCAGGCCCUGCUUGGCGUUUACACGCCCCCUCGUCUCCAUGACAGCAAUAGGACGCCGGCGAUGCAGGGCGCUGAUUGGCUGAGAUUAGGAGGCAUGGACCGGAAGUGGCCGGAGAUUGGCGUGGCUAGAGCCAGUCCCCUCCCCAUCUGCGCGCCGAUGCCUCUGAGCCUCCUCAGGAAACUUCUCGGUCUGGAGCCCGUUGGUCACUGCAGGCUCAGCGGACCGAGGUUAGGACGGAUCGGCCUCUCUAGUCAGAGCGUGCAGUGGUGAUCAGAUCCCACCGGGAAGGCAGCAUAAUCGCGUGGUCCCAGCCUUCAAGCUGCCUGCGCCGCACAUCUUGGACGGAAUGCCAAUAGUCAACUGGACCUGCUGUGACGAUCCUUGGCCUGCAACUCAGCAGUUGGAGAUGGCAUUUGUCUGACUUAGAAGGCCGUUGUGUUUGUGAGAGCAUGGUAGGAUAAAAAGUGUCCCCAUAGACUCAUGGUGAAGGCUUUCUCUGCAGCUGGUGAUCCUCCUCGAUUUAACCACGUGUACCAGGACAGUUGUUCUAGCUUUGAGAAGUAGUUAUGAAAGUGGGGACUGGCUGAGGUAAGUGGGUCUUUGGAGGCAGGCCUGUGAGGUAUCUUGUCUUGUGUACUUUCUCAGCUUUCUGGCUCCCGUGAAAUGAACAGCCCUGUCCCACCAGACCCUCCUGCCACGUUCUACCGAUCCACCUGGCUGGGAGCCAGAAACAGUGGGUCCACAGACUGAAACUGUGCAUCAUGAUCAAUCAGUCUCUCUCUCUCUCUCUCUCUCUCUCUCUCUCUCUCUCUCUCUCUCUCUCUCUCUCUCGAUUGAUUUUGUGUAUGAGUGUUCUGCCUGCAUGUACACCUGCAUGCCAGAAGAGGGCAUCACAUCCUUUUAUAGAUGGUUGUGAUUGCUGAGAAUUGAACUCAGGACCUAUGGAAAACCAGCCAGUGCUCUCAACUGCUGAGCCAUCUCUCCAUCCCUGAAUUUCUCCCUUUAAAUUAUUUCUCUCGUCGGGCGUGGUGGCGCACGCCUUUAAUUCCAGCACUCGGGAGGCAAAGAUGUGAGCAAACAUCAGCUCACUUCAGACAGCACAUAGAAGACAGGACACAGAAGACAGGACACAGAAGACAGGACACAGAAGACAGGACACAGAAGACAGGACAUGGAAGACAGGACACAGAAGACAGGACACAGAAGACAGGACACAGAAGACAAGACAUGGAAGGCAGGACACAGAAGACAGGACACAGAAGACAGGACACAGAAGACAGGACAUGGAAGACAGGACACAGAAGACAGGACAUGGAAGACAAAUCAAAGAGUCUAACUUGCAAAGCCAGUGA
rnacentral:lncRNA from 1 species